GAUGAACGCUGGCGGCGUGCUUAACACAUGCAAGUCGAGCGAGUGAGUUCUUCGGAACGAUCUAGCGGCGGACGGGUGAGUAACACGUGGGCAACCUGCCUCAUAGAGGGGAAUAGCCUUCCGAAAGGAAGAUUAAUACCGCAUAACAUCGUUGAAGGGCAUCCUUCGAUGAUCAAAGGAGCAAUCCGCUAUGAGAUGGGCCCGCGGCGCAUUAGCUAGUUGGUGAGGUAACGGCUCACCAAGGCGACGAGGCGUAGCCGACCUGAGAGGGUGAUCGGCCACAUUGGGACUGAGACACGGCCCAGACUCCUACGGGAGGCAGCAGUGGGGAAUAUUGCACAAUGGGGGAAACCCUGAUGCAGCAACGCCGCGUGAGUGAUGAUGGCCUUCGGGUUGUAAAGCUCUGUCUUUGGGGACGAUAAUGACGGUACCCAAGGAGGAAGUCACGGCUAACUACGUGCCAGCCGCCGCAGUAAAAC
rnacentral:rRNA from 1 species